rnacentral:lncRNA from 1 species
AUUCUUGUCUGAUCUUGGCUGAUAUUAGGAGAGGCAGUCUAACCCAGAUGAAUGAAACUCUGCUUCCUUGAUCAUGGCUGCAAAGGGACACCGCCCCACGCCCCACCUCCUCUGUGCGGAGAUAGGAGGAAUCCCUCAGACCCCACAGCUCUCUCUCAUCUCUGGCAGCCUGCGCCCCAGGAGUAUGAGAUGAAAGAGAUCCACACGAUGGUCCCUGGCAUCUUUGGCUACUGUUAUUCUUCUAUAUCCCUUGGCCUAGGGAUCUAUUUUAGGCAGUAACUUCCACUCCCUCUCUGUCAGAAACCUCUCUCAUCAUUGAGCUAGAUUUUGGAAGUGUAGGAACAUCUGGUUUUUGGACUGUGAGUCCCCUCAAGGCUGAUAGGAUGUUUAAUUUUAGCUAAUGAAUGGAUGUUUAAUUUAUGAGUAUAUGAUGAAUAAAUAAAACCAGCUCUGAUGGUUUCAUUUUAAUCUCAUUCCAAGACAAAUCUUACUUUCUAUAUUUUCCCCCACAAAAACGGAUUUUUCUUCUCCAUUUCAAUUCUUUUCAUCUCCCUCUCCCCAAAAUCUCCAAUUAUCAGCUCUUCCAUGGAAAAUUUCUUCUCUACUCUCUGUUCUGACUUGUUCAUGAUCUAGUAGUUUUCUCUAAGGAAGGCUAUGUAGUUUGGAGGUUAUAAAGCUCAGGCUUCCUGAGUUCAAGUCCCAAUUCCACCAUUUGAUGGUUGUAACCUCUGUGCGUCUCAGUGUCCCCAUUUGUAAACUGGUGCUAGUCAUAGACACCAGGUUGUGGGGUUACCGAAGGAGGGGUAAUGAAGGUAAAAAAAGAGCAUCUAUCAUAGAACCUGGCAACUGAUGAAAGAUUCAAUAAUGUUGACUGUUAGUAACAUUUCAGUAACAUUUUACUUAAAUAGAUAGAGGUUAUGAUAUUAUCUAGGUAGGUAGCCCUUUCUUAAUGGCCUCAGUCUAACCCAACACUUUAUCAUAUGGGGAGAAAAUGUAUAAUGGAACUGUGAGGAAAAAUCUGGAAGAAUGGGUUGCUGGUGCCAGAGAGGAGGUGACUGGAAAGUGUAACAGCCUCUCUUGCCCUGCCCUGAAGCCACUUCCACGUGCCUCAGAGCCUUUGAGCCUCCAGCAACUCUGCCAUCUGCUCCAGGUGUGAACUUUGCACACAGUGAGCUCACUGAGGUCUGGCCUACUGAUCAGCUGUCUUAUUCCCCCCUUUCAAAAAAAGGAGCUGCACCGUCAUGAGUACAAACAACUUGCCUGGGUCUACAACCCCAAGGUGACAAUGUGGAGUUGUGAUCCCAGGUCUUCAGAGGACCAGCUGGGACCUUUGGGACCCCAAGGUGACGAUGUGGAGUUGUGAUCCCAGGUCUUCAGAGGACCAGCUGGGACCUUUGGGAGAUGCAGAGCUGCUGCGGCGCUCUUCACAUGCACUUGAUCUGCUGUGUCCACUAAAUCUACCCCACUUCUAACACCCCAGUCCUGGACUCCGUGGGUGCAAAACGUGAGUCUCUGCACCCCUCUUCACAUCCCUGGGGGGCUUGAGAAUAAGCCAGCAGCCCUGAGCUGGGCUCCUUGGCCUGGCCAUGACUGCC